rnacentral:rRNA from 1 species
AUUGAACGCUGGCGGCAUGCCUUACACAUGCAAGUCGAACGGUAACGCGGGGCAACCUGGCGACGAGUGGCGAACGGGUGAGUAAUAUAUCGGAACGUGCCCAAUAGUGGGGGAUAGCCCGGCGAAAGCCGGAUUAAUACCGCAUGAGACCUGAGGGUGAAAGCGGGGGAUCGCAAGACCUCGCGCUAUUGGAGCGGCCGAUAUCAGAUUAGGUAGUUGGUGGGGUAAAAGCCUACCAAGCCGACGAUCUGUAGCCGGUCUGAGAGGACGACCAGCCACACUGGGACUGAGACACGGCCCAGACUCCUACGGGAGGCAGCAGUGGGGAAUUUUGGACAAUGGACGCAAGUCUGAUCCAGCCAUUCCGCGUGCAGGACGAAGGCCUUCGGGUUGUAAACUGCUUUGUACAGAACGAAAAGGUCUCUAUUAAUACUAGGGGCUCAUGACGGUACUGUAAGAAUAAGCACCGGCUAACUACGUG